AACGAACGCUGGCGGCAUGCCUAACACAUGCAAGUCGAACGAGACCGUCGGGUCUAGUGGCGCACGGGUGCGUAACGCGUGGGAACCUUCCCUUAGGUUCGGAAUAACUCCCCGAAAGGGGUGCUAAUACCGGAUAAUGUCUUCGGACCAAAGAUUUAUCGCCUUUGGAUGGGCCCGCGUUGGAUUAGCUAGUUGGUAGGGUAAAAGUCUACCAAGGCGACGAUCCAUAGCUGGUCUGAGAGGAUGAUCAGCCACACUGGGACUGAGACACGCCCCAGACUCCUACGGGAGGCAGCAGUGGGGAAUAUUGGACGAUGGGCGAGAGACUGAUCCAGCAAUGCCGCGUGAGUGAUGAAGGCCUUAGGGUUGUAAAGCUCUUUUACCCGGGAUGAUAAUGACAGUACCGUGAGAAUAAGCUCCGGCUAACUCCGUG
rnacentral:rRNA from 1 species